AGGGGUCAGCUGGCGGCCAUGGUGACAGAGGGGUCAGUCUGCGGCCUCGGUUCAUCUCUCGGUCAACAUCAGAUAACGAGUUGAUCCAGCAUUCUUUUGACCGAGGUGAUGCAGAGACAGAGCUUGGCUCGAUCAGGACGACGUCUCGGCCAAACCCCCACCGUGCCUCCCCAGCCCGCCCACAGCCGAUCAAUAUGACUGGAGUUGGAGAUACAGGAUGUUCUCCUUUGCGUCUGGUCAGCUCCGGGUCGUGACUACGGAUGUUGACCGCGGGGGCAGCGCUUGGAUCAAAAGCCCGUUCAGGGGGGUACAGGACAAACACCCCGAACAGCGUGACUGAAAUCUGCACCAGCAGAUGGUCGAGAGAGUAUCAUAGAGCAAUUGCUGUAUCGUCUUCAUUCCCAGUUGUAUCGUG